UGGCUCAGUUGGUAGAGCAUGGUGUGUGCAACGCCAGGGUUGUGGGUUCAAUUCCCAU
rfam:Salmo salar isolate Sally breed double haploid chromosome ssa10, whole genome shotgun sequence.